UAUUUCCAAUUGGAUGUCUGAUGAGCACCUCAACUACAGCAAUUUUAGAAUUAAAUUUCACCCAUUAUCACUGUCCAGAAAACACCUGUUUACCUCCUGGAAUCAGUAUAUUCUUUUACUUCUGCCUUUUUUCACUUGCCAGCCAGCUCUUAAUAUCUUAAUUUGUUUCUCUUUUUCACUGUUCAUAUCCCAUCAGAAAAAAUAUCUUGUCCAUUCUACCUCAAAAGUGUGCUCUUGUGAUGGUAUAAAUACAAUAUUGUGAGAGCACUAAGGAAAAAAACACUUAACUGUGCCUUUCAGAGUCAGGAAAACUUCCUAAAAGUGGUAUUUAAAAGUGAAGUUUGUGAACUACUUCCUUUUCAUCCUGUUUUGAUAUCUUUACAAGUUUGUUUUUCUAGUCUGUAAGCUUUUAAAGAGCAUGAAUUUGUUAUUUAUAUGUUAAAUGUCUCACAGUAUGUGAGAGGUGAGUGCUUAAUGUUUAUGAAAUUGAUAACUGUGAAUGAAUGUCUGCAGCCUACCUCAUCUAGUCAGCUAUCUUGCGGUGUUCUUUCAUACUCCUUUUCCAACCACGCUACGCUUCUCUUAUUCUUCAAUAAUUAAGCAUGCUUGUCUUAACUCUGUACCAUUACGCAUGUAAUUAAUUUCCUUUGCAAAAUACUCUUAUGGUAUCUUUCCUCCCUCCAAUUGGCUAGUCCUCCUUUCAUUUUAAAGAUUUUGUUCAGACGAGACCCUUCUGAAACAUUUGUAGACUUCAGUGAACAUCAUAAAUGUCUAAUAAAUACUUACUAAAUGAAUAAACCAAGGAAGUUAUAUUUCCCUUUAGCCUUCUCUUACUAUCUCCUGGACAAAUCACUAAUAGUCUUUUUAUUCCACUCUUUUUAAUCACCAUACUAGGAACUCUUAACACAUAAUAUGACCUCAGUGGUUACAUUUGAAACUCUGAAAGUAAUCAAAAUAAUAAGCAGCCAUUAUAUAAUGUGGGUAAUGUUCCACCAGGCAUUAAAUGGCUAUCUUGGCAGGCAGUACAGUGUUUCUGAAAGUCACCUACAGUGUUUCUUCCUGGACCUCCGUGAUAUGGGUAAACACAGUGUAAGUUUAGUAAUUUGAAUAAUAUGCUUUCCACUCAAUCACUAGGUGCCAAUGAACUGGCUGUGCAGAAAGCAAAGGCAGAAAUCACCAGGCUCAUAAAAGAAGAGCUGAUCCGGCUGCAAAAUUCAUACCAACCAACAAAUAAAGGAAGAUACAAAGUCUUAUAGACAUCCGGAAAAAAGAUUUUUACCUGUGCUGGUCUAUGAUGUAUGUGGCAGUUGCUGUCUGCAGUUUACAAUGUAUUGUAAAUGAAGAUUUUUUAAAUUCUAUCUUGCUGAUUUUUUUUAAAUAUAAGAAACUGGUACUUGGUAAAGAAAUCUGUCCGUAAGUACCCCCACAAUCAGUCAAACUAUAUUUAAAGCCAGCCUGUUUUCAGAGUAUGAUGUCCUUUAAUGUAAACUCAAAUAUCAAUAUUUUAAAUGUCCGGAUAAUAUUCUAGAGGUUUAAAAAAUGGAAAUAUUUGAACUUUCUAUUGAAGACAAUAAAGUACACAAGUCGUU
rnacentral:lncRNA from 10 species